rnacentral:rRNA from 1 species
GGUGAGUAAUGCCUAGGAAAUUGCCUUGAUGUGGGGGAUAACCAUUGGAAACGAUGGCUAAUACCGCAUAAUGCCUACGGGCCAAAGAGGGGGACCUUCGGACCUCUCGCGUCAAGAUAUGCCUAGGUGGGAUUAGCUAGUUGGUGAGGUAAUGGCUCACCAAGGCGACGAUCCCUAGCUGGUCUGAGAGGAUGAUCAGCCACACUGGAACUGAGACACGGUCCAGACUCCUACGGGAGGCAGCAGUGGGGAAUAUUGCACAAUGGGCGAAAGCCUGAUGCAGCCAUGCCGCGUGUAUGAAGAAGGCCUUCGGGUUGUAAAGUACUUU